rnacentral:lncRNA from 1 species
AUGAAAACGUUUUUGUGUCGCUACAAAACUCCUCAUUUCUGUAAAAAACAUUACAACUUUCACCUUCUGUUCAACACUCAAUCUGCUCUUAUGUGCCAUCUUGAAAACUGCUGUUUGGUGCCAAGUAAAUAUUCGAUACUAACUUCUCGUGACAUCUACCAGAUUUUCCAUAAACCAAAGUAUACGAAUACAAGUUUUCAACAUUCUGUCUAUAAUAUUACAUGUGUAAUGAACAAAACAAAUGGUAUGACAUUUCGUGCACCACCCUGUAGGAUUCUUCAAAUGUAGUUCAUUGCUACAAAACAAACAUUUUUGAAAUGAGAAUAUAUUAGCAUUAAUCGAAAAAAGAAGAAAG